rnacentral:rRNA from 1 species
AUUGGCCUACGGGAGGCAGCAGUGGGGAAUAUUGGGCAAUGGAGGAAACUCUGACCCAGCAAUGCCGCGUGAAUGAAGAAGGUCUUCGGAUUGUAAAGUUCUUUAGUCAGGGAAGAAGUCAAUGACGGUACCUGCAGAGGAAGCCACGGCUAACUACGUGCCAGCAGCCGCGGUAAUACGUAGGUGGCAAGCGUUGUUCGGAAUAACUGGGCGUAAAGGAUGCGUAGGCGGUUAAACAAGUUAUAUGUUAAAUAUAUAGGCUUAACCUGUAGAAAGCAUAUAAAACUGUUUAACUAGAGUGCAGG